rnacentral:rRNA from 1 species
CGUCUAUAUACGUAUAGCAUAUCAAUAAGCGGAGGAAAAGAAACUAACAAGGAUUCCCUUAGUAACGGCGAGUGAAGCGGGAAGAGCUCAAAUUUGAAAUCUUCAAGGUUCUACCUUGACGAAUUGUAGUUUAAAGAAGUGUUUUCUGUUAGAGAGUUAGGCUAAAAGUUCCUUGGAAUAGGACAUCAUAGAGGGUGAGAAUCCCGUAUUUGACAUUAUUCUUUCUAGCUGUGUGAUACACUUUCAAAGAGUCGGAUUGUUUGGGAAUGCAGUCCAAAAUGGGUGGUAAAUUUCAUCUAAAGCUAAAUAUUGGCGAGAGACCGAUAGCGAACAAGUACCGUGAGGGAAAGAUGAAAAGAACUUUGAAAAGAGAGUUAAACAGUACGUGAAAUUGUCAAAAGGGAAGCGUUUGACACCAGUGUUGUUUUUCCGAAAAUCAAUUAAGAGUGGCUUGAUUUUGUGUUGUAUUGACCUUAUCAGCUUUCUUCACUCUUUUUCGAGUCUUUCUUAAUGCACUUUUCGGUUAACAAGUCAACAUCAAUUUCUUUUGUUGUAAAAGGGUAUUUGGAAGGUGGCUUUCUUUUCGGAGAAAGUGUUUAUAGCCUUAUACCUCUACAAUCGGAGAGAUUGAGGUCUGCAGCGUAGAUCCUUCGGGGCUAGAUACACUUGUGCUAAGUUAUAGCUUUUCAUAGACAACUUGUUGACUAUGUUUAGUCAUGUAGCUUACCCGCUUGUGCUAUUUUACCUACGCUUAGGAUGUUGAGUCAUCACACAUCUCU